UGCGCAGUUAAUCAGUCACUGCCCCCUCGCUGGGCAAGGGGCAUUUGGUAAAUCUGCUGUCUGCCCCUGGUGUGGUGUGUGAUCAGGGAUCUAACAAUGCUCUGGACACGUCUACCGCUCUCCUGCCACUCCAGGCCCUCUACAGCUGACUGGCAGCCUCUGCGUUUUGAUGGUGGGGCCUUCCAUCUCAAGAAAACAGCAGAGCUGGCGCGGGCUUUGCUGGUGCUUCGCCUAUGCGCCUGGCCUCCGCUGGUUACCCAUGGACUCGCGUUUCAGGCCUGGUCUCAGCGACUCCUGGGCUCCCGUCUCUCGGGCGCACUUCUCCGGGCAUCCAUCUAUGGGCAGUUUGUAGCCGGAGAGACAGCGGAGGAGGUGAGGGGCUGUGUCCAGCAGCUGCAGACCCUAGGACUCCUGCCUCUGCUGGCAGUACCCACGGAGGAAGAACCGGACUCCACUGCCAAGACAAGUGAGGCCUGGUAUGAGGGGAACCUCAGCACCAUGCUGCGCUGUGUGGACUUGUCACGAGCUCUCGUGGACACCUCUGGCCCAGCCAGAAAUACCCUCAUGCAGCUGAAGGUGACGGCGCUAACCAGCCCUCGGCUUUGUGAGGAGCUAUCGACUUGGAUCCAAAAGUCAGCAGGCUCCUCAGAGCUGAGCCCUGAGAGACUGGCAGAAGCUAUGGAUUCAGGCAAGAACCUGCAGGUCUCCUACCUCAACACCGAACAGAAUCAGCACCUGCAGGCCUCUCUCAGCCGCUUGCAUCACGUGGCCCAGUAUGCCCGGGCUCAGCGCGUGAGGCUCCUGGUGGAUGCGGAAUACACUUUCAUCAACCCCGCCCUCUCCCUGCUUGUGGCUGCCCUGGCCUUGCGCUGGAACAGACCAGAGGAAGGUGGACCCUGGGUGUGGAAUACUUACCAGGCCUAUCUGAAGGAAACUCGUGAACGGUUGGAGUGGGAUGCUGACGCUGCACACAAGGCUGGCCUGGCGUUUGGGGUGAAGUUGGUACGAGGUGCCUAUCUGGACAAGGAGAGAGCCGUGGCGCAACUCCAGGGGAAAGAAGAUUGCACUCAGCCUGACUAUGAGGCCACUAGCCGAAGUUACAGUCGCUGUCUGGAGCUGAUGCUGCGCCGCGUGUCCCAGCAUGGUCCCCUGUGCCACCUCAUGGUGGCUUCUCACAAUGAAGAAUCCGUUCUCCAAGCAACUAAGCGUAUGUGGGAGCUGGGCAUUCCUCUGGAUGGGCCUGUCUGUUUUGGACAACUUCUGGGCAUGUGUGACCACGUCUCCCUGGCACUAGGGUCCUGACUGCUGCUCCCUGAGACCUUAGACUGGAUUCCUUUCCUUCUACGGGUUACUAAGGGUAACGAGAGCACUUUAUUACUGGGAAGAUGGCUCAAUGGGUAGAGCGCCUAACAUGCAAGCCUGAAGACCUGAGUUCGAAUCCCCAGGACCCAUGCCAAAGCUAGACAGACAGGCUGGAUAUGUGGUAUAUAAGUCUAUCCCCUAUGGUUGCCUGGAGGAGGUGAUCCCCUAUCUGAUCCGGAGAGCCCAGGAGAACCGGAGUGUGCUGCAGGG